rnacentral:rRNA from 1 species
UACAGAGGUCUCGAGCGUUGUUCGGAUUCAUUGGGCGUAAAGGGCGCGUAGGCGGCACGGCAAGUCAGGAGUGAAAGGCCUAGGCUCAACCGAGGAACUGCUUUUGAGACUGCCGAGCUAGAGUGCAGAAGGGGCAACUGGAAUUCCCAGUGUAGCGGUGAAAUGCGUAGAUAUUGGGAAGAACACCUGAGGCGAAGGCGGGUUGCUGGGCUGACACUGACGCUGAGGCGCGAAAGCCAGGGGAGCAAACGGG